GUCCCUGUAGUGCAAUGGAUAGCGCGUUGGACUUCUAAUCCAAAGGUCCUGGGUUAAAAUCCCACCUGGGAUG
rnacentral:tRNA from 1 species